UACGUAGGGGGCAAGCGUUGUCCGGAUUUAUUGGGCGUAAAGAGCGUGUAGGCGGCCAUGCAGGUCCGUUGUGAAAACUGGAGGCUUAACCUCCAGACGUCGAUGGAAACCGUAUGGCUAGAGUCCGGAAGAGGAGAGUGGAAUUCCUGGUGUAGCGGUGAAAUGCGCAGAUAUCAGGAAGAACACCCGUGGCGAAGGCGGCUCUCUGGGACGGUACUGACGCUGAGACGCGAAAGCGUGGGGGGCGAACAGG
rnacentral:rRNA from 1 species